rnacentral:rRNA from 1 species
UAGGGAAUCUUCCACAAUGGACGCAAGUCUGAUGGAGCAACGCCGCGUGAGUGAAGAAGGUUUUCGGAUCGUAAAGCUCUGUUGUUGGUGAAGAAGGAUAGAGGUAGUAACUGGCCUUUAUUUGACGGUAAUCAACCAGAAAGUCACGGCUAACUACGUGCCAGCAGCCGCGGUAAAUCGUAGGUGGCAAGCGUUGUCCGGAUUUAUUGGGCGUAAAGCGAGCGCAGGCGGAAGAAUAAGUCUGAUGUGAAAGCCCUCGGCUUAACCGAGGAAUUGCAUCGGAAACUGUUUUUCUUGAGUGCAGAAGAGGAGAGUAGAACUCCAUGUGUAGCGGUGGAAUGCGUAGAUAUAUGGAAGAAUACCAGUGGCGAAGGCGGCUCUCUGGUCUGCAACUGACGCUGAGGCUCGAAAGCAUGGGUAGCGAACAGGAUUAGAUACCC